rnacentral:tRNA from 1 species
GGAGAUGUAGCUCAGCAGCACAGUGCUUACUUGGUAAGCAGGAGGCUCUGUGUUCGAUUCCCAGUACCCCCC